UGGCGACCGGCGCACGGUGAGUAACGCGUAUGCAACCUGCCCGAUACCGGGGUAUAGCCCAUGGAAACGUGGAUUAACACCCCAUAGUACUUUUAUCCUGCAUGGGAUGUGAGUUAAAUGUUCAAGGUAUCGGAUGGGCAUGCGUCCUAUUAGUUAGUUGGCGGGUAACAGCCCACCAAGACGAUGAUAGGUAGGGGUUCUGAGAGGAAGGUCCCCCACAUUGGAACUGAGACACGGUCCAA
rnacentral:rRNA from 1 species